UAUACGUUAUGCAGGGGCAAACGGCAUGCAAGAAUUUAUAUCGGUUCAAAAGGGCGAGAUAGGUUUAUUCAACUUAUAAGUCCUUAUAUUCUUGAUUGUUUCAAAUAUAAAUUACCUCAAUUUAGACAUACCCCUCAGAGACUUGAUUCUUCGGAAUCAGAUAGUAAGUUUUUACUUACUAUAACACGUUGAGCUCCUGCUUAUACGCAGGAUGAUGAUAUAGUCCAAUUAUCUGGCAGUAUAUUAUAUAUUUGUCAAGAGGCCAGCAGCAGCGGUAAUACGAGGACCCCAAGCGUUAUCCGGAAUCACUGGGCGUAAAGCGCAAGUAGUCGGUUUUGUUAGUCUGGUGUUAAAUCUCAUGGCUCAACUGUGAGACCGCAUCGGAAACGGCAAGACUAGAGUGGGUUAGAGGCAAGCGGAACGUGCGGUGUAGGGGUGAAAUCCAUUAAUAUUGCACGGAACACCAAAAGCGAAGGCAGCUUGCUAGGGCUCUACUGACGAUCAGUUGCGAAAGUGUGGGCAUAAAAAAGGAUUAGAUACCCUUGUAUUCCACACCCUAAACUAUGCAGACUAGCCAUCGGGAGCAUCGACCCUUUCGGUGGCGUAGCUAACGCGUUAAGUCUGCCGCCUGGGAAGUACGAUCGCAAGAUUAAAACUCAAAGGAAUAGCCGGGAAUUCGCACAAGCAGUGGAUCAUGUGGUUCAAUUCGACACUGAGCGAGGAACCUCACCAGGGCUUGAAAUCUAGCUGCAUACGCCAGAAAUGGCGUAGCCUUCGAGGGUGCUAGACAGGUGCUGCACGGCUGAAAGCAGAAGUUGCUAGUGGCUAGUGUUUAGUGACUAGUGACUGAAAAAAUCGGCCAGCGAAAGAGUAAUUUUUCGCACAAAAUACCCACUCAUAUCGGUGAAACCCAAAUCCGCCAGUCGGCGGAGGGCAAUACCGAGGGAACCCCGACUUUCGGUCGGGGACCUGUAGAGACUUUGAUUCUGAGUUUAUUGAAGGAUCAGGAUGGCAGACGUACAAUUUAAACUGCCAUAAAACGUGGGCUCCAGCACAUAUU
rnacentral:rRNA from 2 species